rnacentral:rRNA from 1 species
AGGACGAACGCUGGCGGCGUGCUUAACACAUGCAAGUCGAGCGGUAAGGCCUCCUUCGGGGGGUACACGAGCGGCGAACGGGUGAGUAACACGUGGGUGACCUGCCCUCAGCUCUGGGAUAAGCCUGGGGAACCGGGUCUAAUACCGGAUAGGACUGCUUGCCGCAUGGUGGGUGGUGGAAAGUUUUUUCGGCUGGGGAUGGGCCCGCGGCCUAUCAGCUUGUUGGUGGGGUGAUGGCCUACCAAGGCGGUGACGGGUA